GGCGGGUGCGGGGGGCAGCCGGCAGCACCGCAGCAGUGUAACUCUGUUUCUUCAUUUCUUCUUCUUCUCCGAACAAACACUGAAACACAGAUCUGUUUUUGUUUUUUGUUUUUACAUUACAUGAAACGACGUCGUUUCUGUAAAAAAAAAAAUUAAAAGAAAAUAUUUUUUUUAUUAAGUCUUCACUUCACUUGAAUCACUUCCUCAGUUGCCUCUCCUCUAUCUCCGUGACUCCACCUCUCUCAGUCUCCCUCUUUUCAGAUCUUCUGCCUCUGGCCCGCCACUACUCUGCCCGGCGCCUACCGCAGCCCGCCGCCGUCAUCUGUACUUUGCUCCACGCCUCCACUGGGACCACUGCUUUAGAUUUUGGUAAGUAAUUUGACUAAUUUCUAAUUUUAAUUUAGCCUAAAUGUCUUUCAAAUUUGGUAAUUUUAAUUUGCUAAUUCUGUUUUCUACACUUAGUUUAUGUGCGUGCUCAUACCACCUGGCCAUUGUUAGUUGAACAAUUAAAAGUUUCCUUUUUCCUUUUUUUCCAAUAUUAUUUCAAUAAUUGUCAACUUUUUAUUGCCCAUACCUACCCAUUUAUUUCAAUUGAUGACUGAAAGUCCAAAUGGGUGUGGUGUUUUUUUGGUUGAGGCUUAAAGCUCAGAUUCCUAUUCCAAUUUAUUCCUUAAAUUUCAAUAUUCAUGGUGUUUUUGUUUAGAGAUUAGUGGCCGACUUAAUUGUGUAAUUUGGUUUCAGAAGAUGGCUCAAUAUUAGAUUAGAUACUAAUCACUGUUGUCAUUUGGUUGUUGCAUGAUAAUCAUACUAAGAUGUGAUAUUUAGCUCUAAUUUCUAUAAAAUAUUAAAUUGGUUUGCAUAAUACUUCAUUAAUUAAUAGAUAGAUUAUGUAUGCUUUUAGGUAUAAAUCAGUUAGAUUUUGACUGAAUUAGUGACAUGGAGUAUAGUUGUUAGUGUGCGAAGUAAUAAGGAUGGCGAAUUCGGGUUGGAACACAAAGAAAUGGCUAAGAAAUCUGUUUGUUAAAGUGGCGCACAUAACAUAUUCGCUAAAAGUUCUCUUAGGACUGUUUUUGCUAAAAACUAGGAAUUAAGCAAAGCCAACGUCCUAAAUUCCGCAAGUGGUGGUAUUAAUAAUUUCGGUUCGUUUGGUUUAAAAUUUUUGACCCCCCUAUAAAAAUGUUCUGGUUCCGCCACUGUGCAAAUAUGAUAUACAUUGUUGUUUGGAUGAAAUUAAAUCAUGGUUAGGUGAAAUAUUUAACUCCCAAGAUGGAAGCAUAAUUUGUGCAUUGUAUUGCAGCGGCUGUUUAGCUUGGUUUUGUUGAGCUAUUUGAUGUCUUGAGUGUAGCACAUGUUUUGAGUUUAGGAGGCUAUAUAGAUUGUUAGAUGCAUUUGUUGGUAUCACAUAUAUAAGAUUAAAAUGUUCUAGCAACUUCUUUUGGUGGAUUUAGAAUUUCUUUUUAAGUUGAUAGGUAAUCUAUUCAUGCAUACUAUUACUUUGUUGAAAUCUAAUAUUAGUAGGUGCACAUGGCCUAUUUUUUAAUCUUUUUCCCUUGAAUAAAUUACAAAUUCCUAUAAAAUGGUUUAAUUGCCUUAUUUUCGGUAUUAUGAUAUUUUUUCUAAUAUAAAUAUUGUGUGUUCACUUUUACAAUAUGUUUAGAUGGAACAAUGCCUGGUUAUUGCAUCGCGUGUAUGGGUCAGGAGCAAAUAGUUGGCUCAUUCAACUGGAGGUUAAAUGACUUUUGUAUUGUUAUUUUUUUCGAAGUCCGAAGAAAAUACAUGCUUAUAUGCUUACACAUUUAUUGCACUACUAAUGAAUUGUCUUCAACAACUUAUGUGUUGUGACAACCCGAAUUUUUAAAAGUUAUUAAAGUAAGAAUUUAAUAAUUAAAAAUUCUUAUUAUGAGAUGUAUAUAUUUUGAAUUAUGUGACUUGGUGUGAAGAGAUUAAGUGUGAAUAUAAAAGAGAUGUAUAUGUUUGGAAAAUAGG
rnacentral:lncRNA from 1 species